rnacentral:misc_RNA from 1 species
UGAAUUAUUUUGUUUCAUUUAUCAUAUUUGCUCCUCUUUGGGCGAACGCCGGGGCACGCGCUUUUACGUUCUAUUCACCGACCCAGACGACCACACAGCGUGCGAUCAGCCAUCUCGUGUGCGCGCCUGUGCUCACCUGUGCCUUCUUGCGCACCCACCAUCGACCUUUGGCACACACCCGUUUAUUGCCCAGAGGCCGCAGAAGGUGCGCUGCUCUUUCCGUCGAGCGUACUCUUCUCCGCUUCUCUUUGUUGUCUCCACACUGCCCUUUCCCAUUGGCACCUCUCUUCUCCGCGUUUCUCUAGCUGACCUCUGCAGUGCCAUUAUCCUCACCGUCAUCGUCGCUCCCACGUUGACUAGAGAGCUGCUCCAGCUGUUCCUCUUUUCCUUUGGGGCUCACCCCUCCCCGCGAAAACCUCUCUCUUCCCCCGUCUCUCUUCUCGUUGCCCGCAUUUGUCGCCGCAAUCAUGUCCAACAGCGUGUCCACCGACGCCGUCAGUAUGGAGAGCACCAUCAGCACUGACGGCGACAUGCCUAGUAUUCACCACGGCGUGGAGAAGGCGGUGUACAUGAUGUGGAACAACCAGUAUAGCGAGGCUCUGGAGCUGUUGCGUGCAAAAAAGGAUAAGAACCCACGCUAUGCUCUCGAGUGGGCCAAUGUCAGCCUUGUCAAGACCCUUAUGAGCUCUACGAACGAGGAUCGCGAAAGUUUGCUCGACCUGUUCAAGUCAGCAGAUUCUCUGUCGACCUCGAGCAAGUACAACGAGCCCAUGUUUUCCGAAGACGACGAGGAUGACGACAAGGAGGAGGACAAGACGCGCAAGCAGCUCAAAAAGGAAAAGAAAAAGAACAAGAAGGUCUUCAAGGCGCGCAAAAGGGAUGCAACCAAGGGCGGCGAGUACUUUGACCAGACGUGGAAGCUCGAGUGUGAUGUUGUCUAUGCCGACGCACUCCUAAUCCGCUCCAUUGGCCAGCUGAUGAUGAACUCCUACCUUAAGGGUGGCAUCAACCUCCGCAAGGCGUGGGGAUGCUACUACUCCCUCAUUCAGCAGGUGGAGCAAGACACCGAGAACAGGAUUCCGUACGAGUUGAAGAUGUGCAUCAAGUACGGCACCGGCACUUUCUACGCCUUUCUGGCGCUCGUGCCGGCGAACCUGAUGAAGGUGCUGAGCAUAAUCGGCUUCAUUUCUGACCGUGACCUCGGCGAGCAGUACCUGACAGAGGUCUUCGAGAGCAACACGAUCCGCUCCCCGUUUGCCGCCCUGGUUCUAUGCACGCUAUAUCUUUUCCUCCCGACCGGCCUUGGGAACGUCGAUGUAACCUUGUCGCGCGCGCGCCGCGUCCUGGAGACGAUGAACGCGCGCUACCCAAACAACACAUACUUCAACGGCUACGCGAACUUCUACUUCCGCAAGAAGGGUGAGGUGGGGCCGGCGGUGCGCUCCAUCACACUAGCUGCCGAGAACGCCGAAAAGGCCGGUCUUGUGCCGCUGCUCAUCAAGUACCUCUACGCCGACACUCUCUUCAUGAACCAGCAGUGGGCCGAGGCACUAGAGCACUAUCGCAGGAUCCUUGAUCACCUAGCAAAGACAAAAGAGAAGUUCGCCUACACUGGACAGGUCGUGCUGUCCGUGGCGGCGUGCUACGUAAUGCUAGACAACGACAAGGAGGCUCUGGUCUGGUUCAAGAAGGUCGAGUCCAUGUACAACCCCAAAUCCAAAAGCGACUCCAACUCGCCGCGCUUCGCGAGCCGUGUCAUCGCGAAUCCACGCCUACUGCCGCUCUCGGGUGUGUACAUGCUCUACAUCAACCGUGACCUGGCGCACAUGAACAAGGAGCAAGGCCUCCGCGUUCUCGCCGAGCUGAAACGUGUGACGAAGGGCAAGGAUUUGAGCGGGCCAGAGGCGGAGAACAUGUAUAACCUCUUCGUUGGCGUCAUUGAGAAGGGCAGCGAGAACACCGAUGCUGCAUUGGCGUACAUGAAAAAAAUUUUCGACAACGAAAAGAAGAUCCCGAGCGAUUCGAUGAUCCUGCCCUUUACGUACUACGAGACAGGGGAGAUGGAGUACCGUCGUGGCAAUAUAGAAAGAGCAAAGGAGUUGUUCGACAAAGGCAGCAAGAUCAAAGGCGACGGCAACGAAACACUGUCUAACAGGUACAACAUCGCUAUGAAGCAGCUGCGCCGUGCAAUGGAGGACCGUGAAGUGAAGUAGUGGCGAUGCCCGCACAGCAGCGCCUGCGGGUAGGAGAACGAGCAAACAACAAUGGGGUGCGAAUCUUUCCUUGUCGCAGUUCCCGUUGUUUAUUGACACUAUAGUGGGCCUCUCUGCCCGUGUUUGUGUUCGUUCGCGUGUGCAUUGGCUCUUCUUUCUUCUUUUGUUUUUGCCGGGCUGGUUUUUCGAUCUGCAUUUUUUUUUUCGUCUGUGUGCCCGUUUUCUUCUGCUCUCGCUGGGUCGCCUCCCCGCAUCUCUCCUCCUUUGCUGUUCUUCAUUUUUCUUGCUGACUUGUCCACGACACCAUCCUCAUCACUCAGCAUCGAUGCAGAGGUAAUUGUGAUUGUCUGCAUCAGAGUCCCUCUUCACCUGUUGCUUGCUGCCAAAUAAGACCUGUCGCAGCGGCGCGAAAGGGUGCUUUGCCGAGGGUGCUGUCUACUUUCUUGCCCUCGCAGGUGAAAGGAGACACGCAUCGACGUUGCAACCCCAAACUUACUCUCGUCUUUUCUUCUGAAG